rnacentral:rRNA from 1 species
GACAGAGGGUGCAAACGUUGCUCGGAAUCAUUGGGCGUAAAGCGUACGCAGGCUGUUCGUUAAGUCGGGUGUGAAAUCCCGGGGCUCAACCCCGGAACUGCGCCCGAAACUGGCGAGCUUGAGUGCGGGAGAGGGAAGCGGAAUUCCUGGUGUAGAGGUGAAAUUCGUAGAUAUCAGGAGGAACACCGGUGGCGAAAGCGGCUUCCUGGCCCGACACUGACGCUCAUGUACGAAAGCGUGGGGAGCAAACAGG